UACGUAGGGGGCGAGCGUUGUCCGGAUUCAUUGGGCGUAAAGCGCUUUAAGGCGGUUCGCUAAGUCGGGUGUGAAACCUCCAGGCUCAACCUGGAGACGCCACUCGAUACUGGCGUGACUAGAGUUCGGUAGGGGACCACGGAAUUCCUGGUGUAGCGGUGAAAUGCGUAGAGAUCGGGAAGAACGCCAAGGGCGAAGGCACUCUGCUAGGCCUGAUUUCGCGACUGACACUCAGGGACGAGAGCCAGGGGAGCGAAUGGG
rnacentral:rRNA from 1 species